GCUAGAAACUAGGUUGAUUCAAAGUCUUUUGUGGACACUUCCUUUAAGAACAGUAUUGAUAGACUGCCUUUAUGCAAAUCCCUUUGGAAGAAAGGAUGGAGAGGAAGAAGCCGGAAACAGAUCAGAGGCAGGAAAUACCAAAUUGCAUGUUUAUAAACGCUGUGAAGGAAUAUGACAAGAGGGGAUAAUGCUAGACUGGCGGCCAUGGAAACUGAAGUCUUCUGUUUGUUCACAGGACAGCUCAUAGCCCUGAAAGUCCCAGUUCAAGCUUCCACAAUCAUCCUACACAAGAGCACUGCUUCUCACAGGACUGCCUCAGCCUGGCAGGAUUCAGUCUCCUGCUCUGAGGGAAAAACAGGAAGUCAAGGAUCAAGACCGCGUGCUCAACUGAGAUCAGAAAGGAGGACAUACAGUGACUUGGCCAAAUCACUGGAGAUUCACACAGCAGAGCUCAGACGAGUGCUAUCAGCACAGCUGAGGAAGACAAGAGUUAGGGUGCAAGGAUCCUGAAAGAGAAACAUUGGUUGUGUUUUUAUUCCUUGGGUAUAAGAAUCCUGAAACAGAAAGGCAUCUGAACCUUGGAGGCAUGGGGUUCAUCUCAUCCUCAUCCAGCCUUUCACCAGAAACGUGAGGAGACUCAUACCACUUGAGGUAGUGUGGAUGUGUGGCACAGUUUUGGAGAGGGCUAUUCCCCUACCUUUACAUGGAAUCCAGUAACUCUCUGAAAACAUAGCAAUGGCAAAAGUCCUUUUCGAGACUGCAAGGAAAACAAACAACUACCAAGAGAAGUCCAAGCAUCAGGGAAAGAAUGAAGUGGUGUGGAGACCGUAGCCAAUAGCUGCUUUAUGAGCACAUUUGUGGCUACCCUUGGGGACCCAAGAAAUAACCGGUUCUGCUUAAAUUCAGCAUCUUCUCUCAGUUCAAAUUUAAGAAAGGAGAUACCACACCACCUACCGACAUAUCCCAUUCUGGAAGAGUAUACAAACUAAAGAUAGAAAACUUCUCAAAUCUACCUGGAAGCUUGCAUAUUCAAAGGAACUAUUUGUUGGAGUGCCAGAUUAUUUAAGGGCCUUUGCAUGUUUCAAGUCCUCUUCUUAAAAAAAGCUGGGGGUGCAUUUCUACAAAGACAGACAGUCUCCAACCCUUUAUGGAGCUUUUGAUCUAAAAGAGAGAGAAUGCUUCCAACACUAUAAAGGACACCCUUAGUCAAAUCUUCUACGAAGAGGAUCCCAUUUUACUCACGCAACUGCUCUAGAUGCUCAUCACUGUUGGACUCAGGCAUGGCCGUGAUGGUCACCAAGGGACACGGAUUCCCUCCCAGCGUCUGGCAGAGAACAUCUUGCCGGAAGUAGACCUCUUUGAGGUUGACACUCUUUUCCAGGAUGUCAAGAUGAGUCUGGAGCAGAAAUAAAGCAGGCAUGUAUAUUAUCAACAUUUUUUAUAACAACAAUAAUAGAAAACAACAACGGCUUACAUAUAGUUUAGAAGUAUUGUUGUUAAUCUAAUCUGUCCUUUAUGUAUUGGGCCUUG
rnacentral:lncRNA from 1 species